CUGUAAAAGUGUGUCUUUGCGUACUUCCUGUGACAAGAGUAUGAAAGCAACUCACAGGUCGACAUACAGGUUGCCGUACAUUCAGAGGUCUUGGUUGUUAAGAGAGCUGUUGAAAGUCCUAAUAGUGAUGAGGAGGCUGCUGGAUAGAAACGUAAGGAAGAUCCUUGAACUGUACCUUAGGAUUCUCUUUUGUGCGUUCUCCACACGGAGACAGACGCCUGCCACAACAACAGACUGCGCAUCAUGCUGAAUGAAAGUUGGUUACUUGAUAUGAUAAAGUUCUUAAUCACGCCUUUGAUGUGCAUAGCACUGUACCUGCUGUGUUGCCGUAGAAAAUGGCUGUGCACUCAGGAAGAAGAGUCAGAUGACUCCUCUGUCUAUGUCAUCCCUAUGCAUGAAGAAGAGAGGACAGAAGGUCAAAGAGAGGAGGCAAGUCCCCCCAGUAGACCUCCUCGGCCCUCAAGGGCCCCAACCCCUCCACCGUUACCCACGACUGUCUACAGACCUCCCUAUAGAGAACUGCCGCCGUAUAGCUCAGUGGAUCUCAUCAACCCUGCACCGCCAUACACUCCGUUUGACCCAAAGGACCCAGAGGACGUUCCACCUUCCUACCGAGCGGUGAUAGAGGACAUACCACCCAUCUACUCAGCAGUGGUGGUGUCAGAUGACCUUCCAUCUGUCUGGUAUCCGCCACUGCCCCCAGUCUCACCCCCCUUACUCCCAAGUCCAGGUUACGCCCAACUCCCGUUACCAAGACCCUAACAUGGAUGCAACUUGCACAAUUGAGAAUUCCAUUUAAUCCCACAGCACUUCUGCUACAGCCUGGUCCCAGAUUUGUUUGUGCUGUCUUGCCAACACCUAUAGGCAGCACAAACAGAUCUGGGACCAGGCUAUGUCUGCUAUUCCCUUGCACCUCCAUGGGGUUCAUAUAGAGCUCUGAACAUAUUCAGGCCGACCAAAGAACAAUGCUGAUUAAUAUACAUUUUUGAGGAAACUUUGGAUGUAUAUGAUACAGGUAGAGCCUAGAGUUGUUCCCGGUUGGUGAAAACUCAGGGCCUGAAAUACUGUAUAGUGGUACAUCUUAUUUAAAUGGAACACUUUCGUCACUGACGUGACAUUGUACUGUUAAGUAUCUGGUUCGGCUUGUGUAGAGGACUGGGCCAUCAUGGAGUCAUUGUUCAUUUCGUCAACAAAAAUAGUGACUAAAAUAAUCACCCAGGUGACUCUCUUGCUUCACCUUAACCAGUCAACACCACCAGCCUUCUAGUUAGCUAGAAUACUCUUUGCUGGUUAAGAAAUACAAGCUGCUUUACCAAAUGAAAAACAAUAACAGCAUUGUGUUUAAUAGUAAAACAACAGUCUCUUCCUUGAGUAGGCUAUAGAAAAGUAGGCCGUCUUUUAAAUGUGUAGUCUCGUUCAACCCUCCCACUUCUCCCACUGCAUUUCAUAUACAGGUUCUGUUGUCAAGUGUCCCUCUUUUCCUCAGAGAAAAUGGCUUUAAGCCCUUAAGGUACCAUUUAAAAGACAUGACCCAUAAUACCAGCGCUAUGUUUUUAUAAAUUUAGAUCGUGCAUUGGCGGGCAGCAUUUUACAUUCAUAAAGCAUAUCACAGGCCGUUCUUAAACUAGGUUACUUGCGGACCGGACCGUUAUUUGUUCAGGCUACACCUUGUUCAGUUAUGUUACCUCAUUGGCUAGCUAAAGCUAGCAACCUGGGGGAAUGUUCAGCAUUUUGAAACGUUCAGACAUAAAUAUGCUCUGUAGAACAAACAUGCCUCUCUGACAUGUUGAAUAAGAAAUAACGUAGCCUCUAUUCUUGGAAUUUCUAUCUGCAAUGUUCAAGAACGUUUUUCAACUGAACGUGGCCCUGGUAACAUUAUUGGUAGCCUACAGUGACUGGAAAGUAUUCAGACUCCUUGACAUUUUUCCAAAUGUUGUUACUUUACAGCCUUAUUCUAAAAUGGAUUAAAUAAAAAUUAUCCUCAGCAAUCUACAAACAAAACUCUAUAAUGACAAAAUGAAA